rnacentral:rRNA from 1 species
UUAUAAAUUGAUUUUUAACAUUUUAUAGGUGUGUUUAAAAUUACAGUUAUGGAAUAUAAAAAAUAAUAAUUUGUUUGUUUUUCUUACCUUUUGUAUAAUGGUUAAACUAAAAUUUCAGUUAAAUCGCUUUUCCCGAAUUAGGAAGAUCUACUUAUCAACUUGUUUUAGAAUAUGUAGCUUAUGUUGCAAUAUGGGCUGAAGAUUAAUAAGUAGGGGUGAAAUGCCUUUCAAUUCCUAGGGUAUCUGGAAAUCUAAGAAAGGCAUUUAGUGCAGAAAAGUGAGGUAUAAAGUGUUCAGAUUUUAUAUUAUCAGUAUUGAAUAAGUUAUUAAUGUCUUUUAGAAUUAAAUCUCUAGAUGGUUGUUAGUGUAUAAAUUCAUUUAUUUUAGUUUCUGGUAGUUAUUAGAUUCUUCUUUUUAAUUUAAAAAUGAAUAAAUAAUGUUUAAAUUAGUAAUAAAUAUAUAAUUAAUAUUUGUAAACUUUUAUAGGUAUAAAAUAGCGAAAAGGAACUCGGCAAAACUAGACUUGGACUGUUUAACAAAAACAUAGCCACUAGAUGAUAUUAUAUGGUUCAACCUGCCCAAUGUUUAUUUAUAAAUAAAUGGCCGCGGUACCCUGACCGUGCUAAGGUAGCGUAAUCAGUUGACUUUUAAAUGAAGUCAGGAAUGAAUGGGAGAACCGGGUUUGACUGUCUCUAAGUUACUUUAUUGAAUUUACUUUCUAAGUGAAAAAGCUUAGGCCUGGUAAAGGGACGAGAAGACCCUUAGAAUUUUUUUUAAAAAGGUUUAUUAAUUUUUAUGAUUUUAUUGGGGCGAUAAAGAAAUAAUUAAAACUUUCUUUUACAAUAAGCCGAUUAUAUUAAGCAAGAAUAAAUUACCUGAGGGAUAACAGCAUAAUUCUAAAAUUGAGUUUGUGACCUCGAUGUUGGACUAGGAAACUAAUAGGCUAGCCGUUUGUUAUGUUAGGUUCUGUUCGAACUUUUAUUCCUACAUGAUCUGAGUUCAGACCGGCGUAAGCCAGGUCAGAUUCUAUCUUUUUAAAUUGCAGUUUUAGUACGAAAGGAUCGAGUUGCAUUAUUUUAAAUAAUUA